UCCCCCUCGAAUAAGCAGUCAUAGAUCCUUCUGAUGACGCAUUCCAAUGUUAUGGAUGUGUUUUCUGAAUACCGAGGUAGAGAGUGAUUUUGUGAAGAGGUCGGCUGCAUUGUCGCAUGAUCGAACAUAUCUUACUUCAAUCUCUUUAUUCUUCUCGAGCUCUUGAGUGUAUGAGAAGAACUUCGGAGGUAUAUGUUUGGUUCUAUC
rnacentral:lncRNA from 1 species